rnacentral:siRNA from 1 species
UUCAUGUGUGUUUACUUUCCC